AAGACGUAAUGAUAUGAAGAAAUGAAGGAAGAGGAGGUAAAAGCGAAGAAGAAAGAUGCAGGAGGGACAAGAAGGGCAACACAGAAUACCAAUCUAAUAAGACCCACUGAAGGACUGGCAGCCAUGAAUGGAAUAGACUGAAUACGUAAGUUGUAAGUAGCUGUUCAUUGUUAGUACGUCUCCAGCACAAUAUAAAACGUACCAGUAAAUAUAACAAGGAACGAAAUGAAAAUAAUAGCGAACGAAAACCAAAGAAAUCAACGAGAGACGAGAAUUCCAUGAAGAGUGACUGAAUAAAAGGAAAAAUAGCGAAGUGAAGUAACGUAGCGCUGGAAAAUAUAAAAGGUGUGUCGAUGCUUAAUAGAAUAACAACAAGAAUAAAUAAAUAAAUAAAUAAAUAAAUAAGGGUAAACAAAUAAAA